rnacentral:rRNA from 1 species
AUUGAACGCUGGCGGCAGGCCUAACACAUGCAAGUCGAACGAGUGGCGGACGGGUGAGUAAUGUCUGGGAAACUGCCUGAUGGAGGGGGAUAACUACUGGAAACGGUAGCUAAUACCGCAUACCAUCGGAUGUGCCCAGAUGGGAUUCGCUAGUAGGUGGGGUAAAGGCUCACCUAGGCGACGAUCCCUAGCUGGUCUGAGAGGAUGGCAAGGCACACGGGGACGGAGACACGGUCCAGACUACAACGGGAGGCAGCAGUGGGGAAUAGUGCACAGUGGGCGCAAGGCUGAUGCAGCCAAGCCGCGUGGGUGAAGAGGGCAUUGGGGUUGGAAAGCACUUUCAGCGGGGAGGCGUUACUCGCAGAAGAAGCACCGGCUAACUCCGUGCCAGCAGCCGCGGUAAUUC